CCAGGUUCAACACCCAACCUUCCUUGGAGGUCAGCCAGCAUAGCAAGUAUGUGAGUUAUGCGGAAAGUAUGCGGUGAAGAGGAAAGCUGUGGGCAUUUGGGGAUGCAAAGAUUGUGGUAAAGUGAAAGCUGGAGGCGCUUACACUAUGAACACUGUGCUGCAAGUGCUGUUACUGUCAGGAGUACCAUUCAGAGACUUAGGGAGCAGACCGAGAUUUAAAUUUGUUUCUAUU